rnacentral:rRNA from 1 species
CCAGACUCCUACGGGAGGCAGCAGUGAGGAAUAUUGGUCAAUGGGCGCGAGCCUGAACCAGCCAAGUCGCGUGAGGGAUGACGGCCCUACGGGUUGUAAACCUCUUUUGUCGGGGAGCAAAUUCCGUUACGUGUAACGGAGUCGAGAGUACCCGAAGAAAAAGCAUCGGCUAACUCCGUGCCAGCAGCCGCGGUAAUACGGAGGAUGCGAGCGUUAUCCGGAUUUAUUGGGUUUAAAGGGUGCGUAGGUGGUUAAUUAAGUCAGCGGUGAAAGUUUGUGGCUCAACCAUAAAAUUGCCGUUGAAACUGGUUGACUUGAGUAUAUUUGAGGUAGGCGGAAUGCGUGGUGUAGCGGUGAAAUGCAUAGAUAUCACGCAGAACUCCGAUUGCGAAGGCAGCUUACUAAACUAUAACUGACACUGAAGCACGAAAGCGUGGGUAUCGAACAGGAUUAGAUACCCCAGUA